rnacentral:tRNA from 1 species
GGGCGCGUAGCUUAAUUGGCUAAAGCAUCGGUCUCCAAAACCGAGGACUGUAGGUUCAAGUCCUACCGCGCCUG